rnacentral:rRNA from 1 species
CGCAAGCCUGACGGAGCAACGCCGCGUGAGGGAGGAAGGCCUGUGGGUUGUAAACCUCUUUUCUCAGGGAAGAAGAACUGACGGUACCUGAGGAAUCAGCAUCGGCUAACUCCGUGCCAGCAGCCGCGGUAAGACGGAGGAUGCAAGCGUUAUCCGGAAUUAUUGGGCGUAAAGCGUCCGUAGGCGGUUUUUCAAGUCUGCCGUUAAAGACUACAGCUUAACUGUGGGCCGGCGGUGGAAACUGAGGAACUUGAGUAUGGUAGGGGUAGAGGGAAUUCCCAGUGUAGCGGUGAAAUGCGUAGAUAUUGGGAAGAACACCAGUGGCGAAGGCGCUCUGCUGGGCCAUAACUGACGCUGAGGGACGAAAGCUAGGGGAGCG